rnacentral:rRNA from 1 species
UACGUAGGGGGCGAGCGUUGUUCGGAUUUACUGGGCGUAAAGAGCGCGUAGGCGGUUCGAUAAGUCGGAGGUGAAAUCCCUCGGCUCAACCGAGGACCCGCGUCCGAUACUGUCGAACUUGAGUGCAGGAGAGGAGAGCGGAAUUCCCAAUGUAGCGGUGAAAUGCGUAGAUAUUGGGAGGAACACCGGUGGCGAAGGCGGCUCUCUGGCCUGCUACUGACGCUGAGGCGCGAAAGCUAGGGGAGCAAACGGG